AUCUUAUCAAGAGUGGUUGAGGGACUGGCCCCAUGAAACCCGGCAACAGUCAGUUUAUUAUUAACUGAAAAUGUGCUAAUUCCAGCAGGAAAUAUCCUGAAAGAUAAGAA
rnacentral:ncRNA from 2 species